GUGAGCAGAAACAUACUCCUGAAGUAGGCCUACAUUCUCAAAUUGGGUCAGAUAAGGAUGACGCUACGUCUGAGACCCCUAUGAGUGCAAACAAACUAAAGCUUGGUAUGAAAGUAACAGCAAAAGUGCAUCAAAUUCGCGCCCUUGGUUUGGUGCUUGAUUUGGGUGGUGGAAUUCGUGGAAUGUAUCGUUUUGAGUCUGGUAUGAAGAAGGACUUUGAGGUGGGUGAUGAGCUGCGGGUGAAGUGCUCAAGUUUUUCAACUAAAGGGAUUCCAGUAUUGUCUUUGGUGAAAGAAGAGUAAUUUAAGGCACUAUUAUACCAAAGUAAAGCAUAAAACUGCAGGCUGUAAAAAAAUGUCAGCUAAGA
rnacentral:misc_RNA from 1 species